rnacentral:rRNA from 1 species
CUACACAUGCAGUCGAGCGGUACACAAGGGAGCUUGCUCCUGAGGUGACGAGCGGCGGACGGGUGAGUAAUGCCUAGGGAUCUGCCCAGUCGAGGGGGAUAACAGUUGGAAACGACUGCUAAUACCGCAUACGCCCUACGGGGGAAGGAGGGGACCUUCGGGCCUUCCGCGAUUGGAUGAACCUAGGUGGGAUUAGCUAGUUGGUGAGGUAAUGGCUCACCAAGGCGACGAUCCCUAGCUGUUCUGAGAGGAUGAUCAGCCACACUGGGACUGAGACACGNCCCAGACUCCUACGGGAGGCAGCAGUGGGGAAUAUUGCACA